GGGCAGCUUAGCUCUGUCGGUAGAGCAUGAGGCUCUUAAUCUCAAGGUCGUGGGUUUGAAUCCCAAGUUGGGCA